AGCAGUCGCCACGGGAAUACGAAGGGGGCUAGCGUUGUUCGGAAUUACUGGGCGUAAAGCGCACGUAGGCGGAUAUUUAAGUCAGGGGUGAAAUCCCGCAGCUCAACUGCGGAACUGCCUUUGAUACUGGGUAUCUUGAGUAUGGAAGAGGUUAGUGGAAUUGCGAGUGUAGAGGUGAAAUUCGUAGAUAUUCUCAGGAACACCAGUGGCGAAGGCGGCUAACUGGUCCAUAACUGACGCUGAGGUGCGAAAGCGUGGGGAGCAAACAGGAUUAGAUACCCCUGUAGUCCCUGUCUCUUAUAA
rnacentral:rRNA from 1 species